UACGAGAGGCCCAAACGUUAUUCGGAAUUACUGGGCUUAAAGAGUUCGUAGGCGGCGCGGAAAGUAGGGUGUGAAAGCCCUCGGCUCAACCGAGGAAUUGCGCUCUAAACUACCGUGCUUGAGGGACCUAGAGGUAAGCGGAACUGAUGGUGGAGCGGUGAAAUGCGUUGAUAUCAUCAGGAACACCGGAGGCGAAGGCGGCUUACUGGGGGUCUUCUGACGCUGAGGAACGAAAGCCAGGGGAGCGAACGGG
rnacentral:rRNA from 1 species